CUCAACUCAACUAGUAAAUUGCAUAGAUGAUUGAUCUAUUUAAAUCGAGGGAAGGGUGACUUCUCUUUACUAGAUGACCAGUUGCGCCAAAUGGCGCAAAGACCCGUUUAAAACCAUGUUCGUGUUGAAAAUAUUUGCAUUUUUUCAAUAAGUGUAUAUUUGAGUAGUUAUGGGGACCUCUCCCAGGUUGAACUUCCUUACAACAAUCAUUCUUCACCUUAGCCUUUGUACCUUCCUGGAAAACAGAAUAAGAACACGAUUACUCAAAAUUAAAACCCUAUAAGGGAUUAUUGCAAUACGAAGCUAGCACUGAUACACAAAAAAGACUAGAUUGCUCUAACUAAAGUAAGGGAUGACCGAACUCAUCCAAUAUCUCUGCCGGGAUGGUAAACAGAAUACGUAAAUGAUUACUUAAGUAGUUCACUACUUGCUCCAGCGCCCACUUCCUAAAAGAUCUCAGCUUCGCACCUAAAGCAGGCCAACAACUGUAGCUAUUUUUUUAAUGAAUUUUGGUAUGAUUGAAGAAAACUCUCACCAUAUUUUAAGAUCCCUUCCAGCCUCCUGCUCUAACAAAACACACAUUGUAAUUAAUCCAGCAACGACUUCAUCAGAGCAACAUAGACAUAAAUAUAUAUAUUCUACAUGCACCAGGAUAUCAGGAUGUGGUGACCUUGGUCUCCAUGAUCCUUGACAUCACAACCAUGGAAAGAAACAAUUAGCUACUUGACAAAAUGACGGCAGCGGCCCAAUGUCGAGAAAAGGAGGAGGAACCACAAGACAUGCCUUCUUAAAUUUUAUCAAGGUUAUAGAUACAAAAUAACAUAGCUCAUGAACAGAAUCUAAAUAGGCAACCAGGAGCAUGUGGGACGGAAAUAACUAUGUGGCACAUGACAGCUAGAGCAGCAAAGAAGAAACAUGAUUUAUUGGCUUACCUAUUUUGAAUACCCGCAAAAAAAUUGAAUUUCUUUCAUCUCAAAUGUGUAAGAACACAACUUUUGUAACCCUGUGAGACACCAUUGUAAUCAAAUACCACAUGCGUCCUACCAUAAUGCCAUUCAUUAAAUUAUGCCAUCACCUGCUGUAAAAAUAGGGGAAAUAAUAUUAAGACUUGAACAUGACUGAGAGGCUGAACGGGGAUUAGUUAAAAUAGAAAUCUAACUGUGUGGAUAUCUUUCGCAUGGCCACAACGACCUGCAUGAUAAAUGAGAAUCCCUGAGCUAAACACGAAUCAGAAAACCAGCUAACACAAUCCACAGGGCCUUCCAUUACUCUCCACGUGACUUUUAGCUAACCAGGUUCUGAAUGAAAGGCAAUCCCUCCGUAUCUUUGCAAUGCCCCUUGAAAAUAGAGAAUGAGAGUCAAUAUAGAUUAAAAUAUUGCCAAUUCAUUACUCACAAACCGGCUACAUAUGUUUAAAUUUAAGGCUCUAAAGGAAAAAAGGCGUGAGAAAAUGCUACACACACACACGAAAAGACGAACAAAAAGGACAGGAAAAGCAGCCAAAGUAUACCUUCAGCUUCAGUCGAAUGGUCUGAUUGAGUUCCUGGCCAAAUUGUUCAUACAUCCUCAUCUGCAGCUAUCUAAGGCACAAGGCAGUGAGUGGAGAACAAACAUUCAAAUAAACCACUGUGUGAGUAUAUAAAUGAGACGCAU
rnacentral:lncRNA from 1 species